AAGAGAUGGGGUCUCGUUAUGUUGACCAGGCUGGUCUUGAACACCUGACCUGAAGUGAUCCUCUUGCCUCAGCCUCCCAUAGUGCUGCGAUCACAGGUGUAAGUCACUGAGUUUGGCCAUUAUUCCAUUUCUGUACACAAAAACCUUUCUCAUUCUGUGCUAUAACUAGUUAGCAUUUAAUUGGGUGGAUGUGGUAUAACUAGUGCCUUGUUGAUAUUGAUGCAUAUUUACAUGGUUUUGCUGUUAUAAACAAUGGUCCCUUGCUAUUAUAAAUCACACUGCUAUAAGUAACCUUGCAUCUAAAUUACUUCAAAUGUGUAACUAUAUGGGUAGGAUAAUUUCUAGAAGUGGAAUUGUGAACCAAAGUUUUAGGUGCAUUUGUAAUUUUGAUUUAUAACCAAUCUUUUCACUGAUCUACUUCUCUGCCUCUAAUUUCUACUAGGUGUUUGUUUGUUUGUUUGUUUGUUUUGAGACAGGGUCUUGCUCUGUCACCCAGGCUGGAGGACAGUGGUGCAAUCACGGCUCACUGCAGCCUCAACCUGCCACCUCAGCCUCCUGAAUAGUUGGGGUGUGUGGCAGGUGUAUACCACCACUUCCAGGUUUUUUUGUUGUUGUUGUUUAAUAGAGAUGAGGUCUUGCUAUAUUGCCCAGGCAGGUCUCACACUACUGAGCGCAAGCGAUCCUCCUGCCUAUGCCUCCCAAAGUGCUGGGAUUACAGGUGUGAGUUGCCAUGCCUGGCCCGGUUAUCUUUCUAAAGCAUAAAGCAACCCUGUUGAUCCUCUGCUUAAUUUUGAUGAUUAAGUAGUAUGUUCAAAAUAUAGAAAUCCAUGUAUUGAUAAUGAUCUUUUAAAAAAAGUAAAAGCCAAAAUAUCAGCUACUCAUCCUACACCAUUGAAAGUAGUGACCAUUAAACUGCUCUACCUCUACCUCCACCUCUCUACCUCUCUACCUCUCUACCUCUACCUCUACCCACGGUCUCCCUCUCUUUCCAUGGUCUCCCUCUCAUGUGGAGCCGAAGCUGGACUGUACUGCUGCCAUCUCGGCUCACUGCAACCUCCCUGCCUGAUUCUCCUGCCUCAGCCUGCCGAGUGCCUGCGAUUGCAGGCACGCGCUGCCACGCCUGACUGGUUUUGGUGGAGACGGGGUUUCGCUGUGUUGGCCGGGCCGGUCUCCAGCCCCUAACCGCGAGUGAUCCGCCAGCCUCGGCCUCCCGAGGUGCCGGGAUUGCAGACGGAGUCUCGUUCACUCAGUGCUCAAUGGUGCCCAGGCUGGAGUGCAGUGGCGUGAUCUCGGCUCGCUACAACCUACACCUCCCAGCCGCCUGCCUUGGCCUCCCAAAGUGCCGAGAUUGCAGCCUCUGCCCAGCCGCCACCCCGUCUGGGAAGUGAGGAGUGUCUCUGCCUGGCCGCCCAUCGUCUGGGAUGUGAGGAGCCCCUCUGCCUGGCUGCCCAGUCUGGAAAGUGAGGAGCGUCUCCGCCCGGCCGCCAUCCCAUCUAGGAAGUGAGGAGUGCCUCUUCCCAGCCGCCAUCACAUCUAGGAAGUGAGGAGCGUCUCUGCCCGGCCGCCCAUCGUCUGAGAUGUGGGGAGCGCCUCUGCCCCGCCGCCCCAUCUGGGAUGUGAGGAGCGCCUCUGCCCGGCCGCGACCCCGUCUGGGAGGUGAGGAGCGUCUCUGCCCGGCCGCCCCGUCUGAGAAGUGAGGAGCCACCCCAUCUGGGAAGUGAGGAGCAUCUCCGCCCGGCAGCCACCCCGUCCGGGAGGGAGGUGGGGGGUCAGCCCCCCGCCCGGCCAGCCGCCCCGUCCGGGAGGGAGGUGGGGGGGUCAGCCCCCUGCCCGGCCAGCCGCCCCGUCCGGGAGGUGAGGGGCGCCUCUGC
rnacentral:lncRNA from 1 species